GAUGAACGCUAGCGACAGGCUUAACACAUGCAAGUCGAGCGACCGGAGCACGGGUGAGUAACACGUACCUACCCUGCCCUUUACUCGGCGAUAGCCUUUCGAAAGAAAGAUUAACACCCGCCACAAAGGAUGGGGAUGCGUGCCAUUAGGUUGUUGGUGAUGUAACGGCUCACCAAGCCUUCGAUGGUUAGGGGUUCUGCGAGGAAGGUCCACGAGAGUGGAACUGCGCAACGGACCAAACGCGUGCGUGAGGCAGGAGAUAGGUAGAUUGGGCAAUGAGCGCUAGCCUGAACCGGCCAAGUAGCGUGAAGGGUGAUGGCUUAUGAGUCGUAAACUUCUUGUAUGUAAGAAUAUGUAUUAUAUGAAUAAGGAUCGGCUAACUCCGUGCCAGCAGCCGCGGUAAUUC
rnacentral:rRNA from 1 species